UUACAAUGCUAAAUGGGCACAUCCUCUUCUAGCAUAAGUUUCCUCUUCUCAGGGAUUAUCAGUCCUUGAAUGUUACAUUUAAUCAGAUUGCAUCAACUGCUCAAUUUCUGAUGGAAAAAAAAAAGUCAACCCUUUUGAAUAAAAUCAUCCCUGGAAUUGCAUUUUGUAUUUUACAUUAAUGAUAGAAUCCUAUUGAGCUUCAACUUUAGAGAAUAUCUAGCAUCAGAUCCCCAAACCACUUUUUUCCAUUUCCCACCAUCCACCUUUUCUUAACAUCAGACACAUGAGACUGUACAUUCAAAUGAAAAGGUUAAAAAGAUCAAUUAUGCAAAGGGGAAAAUAUGGCAAUAACUUGUCAAUCCAUAGAACAAAAGAAAAAAAAAUGCACAUCCCAGAAAGAAGGGAAUGGGGUGGCAAAAGAAUUCUGAC
rnacentral:misc_RNA from 1 species